GCCAGUGUGGUGUAGUGGUUUUUGCAUCGGGCUACAACUCUGGAGACCAGGGUUCAAAUCCCUGCUGGAG